rnacentral:lncRNA from 1 species
CUCUCUCAUGUUCUGUGCAGGGGGAGCAAGGACCUCGAGGCUUUCCAGGGUCAAAGGGCAUGACAGGCCUUGGCCUCCCUGGCCAGAAGGGGUUGCAAGGACCAAAAGGAGACCAAGGGCUUACAGUAAGUAUCAGUCCUACAGGGUAAUUGAGGGGUUUGCGCUUAUGGGAUUGCUGUGUUUAUGUUUUAAACGUGGUUUACAUUUAAAAGCAUGACUUCUUUUGAUAUGGUUGCCAUGUAAAUGACAGCACUGCCGCAAGCUCUGUGCUGCCUGUGAUGCAGAAGGUAAUUGAAUCAGAGCAUGAGGGGAGGCAUAACACCCAGAGCCCUUAUCUGGCAUCCUGGUAGGGAUGUUACUACCCCCUCUGACCCCUGGUAGAAAUGUUAACAAGGAGGUGAGCUGUUUAAAAGAAGCCAACUGAACAUGAGACUUUAUUUUACAUGGCCCUUCACAUUUUAGAACGGGGGCUCUCUUUACCCUGAAAUAGUUCCUUCAGGAAGUGCUCUGAGGAGAACAGCAAUCACAAAGUUGAGAUGAUUUUUAUGGACUGAUUCACUUAUUCAACAAACAGUUAUGAAGAUGUACAAACUCUUUCCUAUUCUUCUCUCUGCACCAUGACAAAUGAAAAACCGAGUCUCAAAAGUCCCACCAGGUGGGAAAGUUCUAGAAUUUCUAUAGCAGAAUCUGCUUCUUCCCUUCUGAUUCUGAGGCACUGCAUCUCCUCGAGGUGAGAAAGAGGGACCUUUCUUUUCCCCCCCUUUUUGAUUCUUCGGUGGGUGGAGGUCUGGGAAUGCUAAUUUUGUGUACAGUGCCAGGAAAAGCCAUGGGUGGGAGUCCAGGUGGGAAAGUGAGAGCUGGGCAUGUGACAGACAGAACUGCACCUGUUUUUUGGCCCAUCUGCCUUUUUCUCAUUGUUGUGUUGACCUCAAGUCAGACCCUCCCCAGACGCCUGUGGUGGUUGAAGGGGCUAGAGAUGCAGCAGUUUCUCAAGAGUAAGAGGGGAAGGUGUAUAAAACGCCUAGAGGAAUAUUCUGCACAGGCUUAACCCCUUCCCUUCUGCCCCAUCAUGGGGAGGGGAACUGGUUUCCUUCAUCCUGGCAUUUAUUCAUUCAUUUCACCAACAUUUAUUGGGCAUAUAUCCUAGGUCAGUGUCUGAGACUGGCCCUGGGGAAACAGCUGAGAAUAAGACUAUGUCUUCGGACUCAAGGUGCUCACAGCCUAAUGGAAAGAAAGGCAAGCAAAGCAUGUUCAUCUAGAGUUUGAUCAAUACCAUGAUCAAAGUGAUAUAUGGGUCCAGAGCAGACAAAAUGAUGUGUGACUUAAUGCAAAUUAUCUCUUCCUUCACUCUUCCCUACUUCUAGCAUUCAGAAUGUAAGGUCAGCGUUAAGUGAGAAUCUAAUAUGUGAGAGGUACAAUGUUAGGCUUUAUCCUAUCAAUGCCACUCUGACCCAGUACUACAGGGCGCCAGGGGGGCCUAUGUAAAGCAUGAGCCCUGGACCCCUAUCUCCACCCCUCCACCACGGGAGGAGUCCUCAGGGCCAAGGGGAACAACCACCUUGAGCACUCUCUCUCCAGAGAGCUCUGUAUUGUGCUCUGGAUAUCAAGGAGCUCAGAACUGCCUCCCCGAACGGCCACAACUUUGGACAGCACUGGCCUGUAUGCAUGAGGUGCCCAGAGGGCAUGGUUUUGUUUUUUGACUUUUUAGGGCUGCAUCUGUGGCAUAUGGAGGUUCCAAGGCUAAGGGCAGAAUCAGAACUACAGUUGCCAGCCUACACCACAGCUCAUGGCAAUGCAGGAUCUGAGUCGUGUCCUUGACCUUCACCACAGUUCACAGCAACGCCAGAUCCUUAACCCACUGAAUGGGGCCAGGGCUUGAACCCACAUCUUCAUGGAUACUAGUUGGAUUUGUAACUGCUGAGCCACGACUGGAAAUCCUGGGGCAGGUAUUCUGAGGGGAUUUGAUGGAGCUUGGAUUUACCACAGAAAUGCUGGCCAAGGCCUGGAGCAGCGUAAGACUGGUGAGGAUGAGGAACAGGCUAUAGGCUGCAGCCCUCUCCUGCCCUUGACCCACAUUAAUCCACGUGACAGUCCAUGAGGCAAGUGGUGGGUGGAAGGAUCUCCACUUCAGAUGAAGACAUGAAAAUUCAUUGAAGAAAGCUUGAGCCACAGGCCCUAAAUCCCAUCACUGACAAGUAGCAGAGCCCACAUAGCCAGAGUUGAAUUGUCUGAUACCAAAUCCAGGCUGCUUGCCCAUGGGUGCUACUCUUGGAAGGCCUCUUUCCUCUCCUUCACCAGAUAUAGUCCCAAAUACUACCAGGUGCAGAUUCAUUCCAGACUAACAAGCUCUUCUCUUAAGAGGCAAAUACCAUUGAUGGAGUUUGGAGUUCAGGUUUUUAAUCCUUCACUCCAAAUUGCUUCAAAAAGACUAUUUCUCCACCUAUCCCUUAAAUGUUAGUAUUUUCCAGUGUCUGCCUUCAGUCUUGUCUUCCCUGUCUUCAAAGUGUCAGGGAGGGAUAGCUAUUAAAGGCAGGGGAGGGUGUACGGUUUCAAAGGGCUAAUUUAAUAUCACAGUAAAGCUAUAUGGGGCAUGAAAAAUAUUUUUAUACUAAAGCAUAGAAAAGAAUAAGCAUGACAAAGGGGCAUGGAGAGGAGUCACAUUGGUUUAAAAAAUGGCGGAGAGAUGCAAUCUCAUCUGCCAUCCCCGUUUCAACAGCCAACUGUACACUGGCAUUACUUGAAUCUGCCUCCAGCUUGAAUCACUGUCCUGAGCACCAGACCUGACAUCCUGCUGCCUGCUGGACAUUGCCAGCUGGCUGUCCCAUGGGUGUCUCAAAGUCAGCCUGGCUCAAACUGAGCCCAGUGAUCUUCCUUAGCGCCAACCUGUCCCCAUUCCAUCCCUCCUGGUCCCAAAGAGGAGCACUGUCAUCACUCGCCUCUUAGACUCCUUUUUCCCUCAUCCUUUCUUUCAAUCACUUGCCAAGCUCCUUCAUCUCCUGAAAUGUCCCUCCAGGCCAUUCCUUCCCAUCUAUCAUUAGCACCAUGGCUUUCCGGUGUUACUUUCUUUGCCUGAACUAUUCAGGGACCUCAGUCCCCUCCACUGGCUGCCACCAUCACUUUUCUUAAAUAAAAGUACAACUGGAUCUCUUCUCUGCUAUGCACCAUGUCUCCCUUCACUGCUCAGGAGCAGUCCACGCCCUUCCAUGUGACACGCAGGCUUUCUAGAGUUCAUCUGUCUUCCACAUUUCCUGUCAUUCUUUCUGUCACAUUCCCUAAGUCAUAAGCUGACUCAAAUAAUGUAAUGCACUGUGCUUUAAAUAUUUUGUCCCCUGUCUGGAAAGCUCUUCCUCCUCCUCUUUGCACCCCACCUCAUCCUGGUCAGAGUGCAUCUGCCUCCCCCCCGCCCCCUGGACCACAGCACCCCCCCCCAGUCUCCCACCCCUGCUAUUCCUGGCAGAUUAGCCCAGUUCUUUGGCUCUGAUCCAGUAGCACAGUAUUUAUAAAUACAGGAGUCCUUCGAGGAAUAUAAAUUUGAUGCCUUCAUCAUUGGCACUGUGAAGCCAAAGUGGUCACUCAGCAAUUUUAGUGGAAAGACUAAAAUUCUUCCAGUGACUUACAAGCAAAGAAGACAAGAAAAGGAUUGAUACAUAUGACUAGGGGCAGCAUAUUAGACCUGGUUAUGCUAUAAAAGCACAAUGAAAAGGAUUAAAAUGCAACCUUGAUAUAUAAAUUGCCCUUAGAAGUCAAUAAAAGACAAAUAUUCUAAUAGAAAAAAUGGACAAAGGACAUACAAAGACUGUACGCAAGUAAAUACCAUUUGGAAAUGCACACAUAAAAUUUUGCCACACAAAUAAUGGAAUAAAUGUAAUUUAAAACAUUGAGAUAUUUUGCUCCAUCAAAUGGCAAAGAUUAUAUAAUAAUAAUAAUAACAAGUAUUGUGUCUCUAAAGCAAAACAGGUUUUCUUAUGUGCUAUUGUUAGAGGUGUAGAAGUUACUACAACUUUUCUGAAGGAGAGUCAGGUAAUCUGCAACUAGAGCAUUAAAAUGGCCACUCGUCUGACUUCAGUGAUCAAAUAUUUAAGAAUACUUAAUAUGGGAAAUUAAUUAUGAUGUAAUGUUAAGUGAAAAACUAUAAUCAUAAAACAUGGUAUAUAGUAUUUUUUCUACUUGUAAAAAAUUAAACAUAAAUAUAUUAAAUACAUAACAUUUCUUCUUCCUAGAUACAUAAUAUAUAUUAAUAUGUAUAUUUUUCCCUUUCUGGACAUAGUCUAGUUUCAGAUAUAUUACAUACCUCUCUAAAUGUGACAAAGCCUGAAAAAAAGAUAACCGUUGACUCCGUUUUAUAUAAUUUAAAAAAUAUCUCAUAUUGGGAGUUCUCUUUCUAUAGCCAUAUGAAAUCAUUGGCUUUUACUCAAUUUAGAGUAAAAAAAAUUAAGUAAAAAUGCCCUGAAUAUUCUCUGUACUUGCUUCUGUUAAGAUAUGUUACUGGCUGUGUUACCUUCACCCCAGUUCUGGCAUAGAUAUUUUCCCGUAAAACAUUACUUUUGCAAAUGUUAAAUUGUAUCUUAGAUCAGGUCUACUGGUUUUUCCUGUUGAGAUUUUCUGGGCUUCUGUUUCUCUUAUCUGUUCGGUUCAUCAUCCGUCAGCUUCUUGUCUUUGGCAGAUUUAAAUUCCCGACUUCUCCAGUCCCAACCCAGUCAUUUGUAAACACACCACUCAGGGCAAGACAUUGGCAAAUUAAUUCCUGGGACCCGGAUCAUCUCAGCCCUUCUGAUGGAGCUGGUGAACAUCAGAACCAGGAAGGUGCAUUCAGGAACCCAGGGACAGUUCAUGGAAGACCCCAAGUUAGAGUCUUAGGAAACUGGGGAGGAGACUUGCAAGUUUGGGGACUGGUUCAGAAAAAAAGAGAAGAGAAUACAGCAUAGAAUGAAUUAUCUUUGGGUCCUUAGGCUUGUCUUAGUUGAUCAGCACUUGUGAAUUAAAUCGUGUAACUGAAAGCAUGCAUUGCCCAUACCCGCUGUCAUCCUCAGUAUCUGCAAGGGAUUGGUUCCAGGACACCCUACCCCAUCCUAGCAGAUGCCAAAAUGCUUGGAUGCUCCAGCCUCUCAUAUGAAAUUGCAUAGUACAGUCAGUCCUCUGUAUCGAUGGAUGCAGUACCCAGAGAUACAGAGGGCCGACUGUAUGUGGUAAGUACUACCUAUAGUACAUAUGGGGCCAGAUCCCAUGUUAAGGAGUUGUGUGUUAUGUCACCUCAUUCGGUUCCACCACAGUCAAGAGACACAGACACCCUUAGGUCACUUAAUGCCCAGGGUCACACAGCUGAUGAAUACUGGAGCUCUAAUUUGAACUCUAAAUCUGAGCUUUUAUAUUUCCCAGCUCAAACACAUUUCAGUUAUGUUAUGUGAUAGCCAACUUUUAGCUUCUGUGCUAUGUUAUUUUUUCUGCAGUGGAAAGAGUAAGUCAAAUAGCCCAAUGCUGAUUGUAACAAGACAUCUUUUGUGACACAAGACAUAUCUUUUCGGAUGACAGGGAAAAAAUAUUAUGGUUAUACAAUUAAUGACUUUUCCUCUUUUCCUCUAGAAAGAAGAAAUCAUCAAACUUAUUUUUGAAAUAUGUGGUAAGAUUCGACCAUCAAGGGAAAAACCCAUCCCUUUGAAGUACCAACCCCACUAGGUUCUGUGCUGUCAAGAUAGUGGGCUCCCAAGAAGAUACAGACUAUAGAGCUCGUGGGAAAGUUUCAAGCUCAUUUGCAAAGCUGGUGGGAAACAGAAGGGAAGCAGUGUGAGGGCCUGUGAGAAUCUUGAUUUUAGAAAAGAAAAUCCUAAUUUCAGGGUAGUUAAGAAGUGUGAAGAUACCAGCCUAGAGUCUGUGGGCAGCCAGGCUUGUUAGCACAGAGCUCAUUUGUAUUCAGUGACAUUUACCUGAACCUGACAGGAAAAGAACAACAAAGGAAACAUGACUAUAGGGGCCUAACAGGUGUUUUGAGUCCAGCUGAGCUGGUGAUGAUAAAGUCUGUGCUUUUCCUGAAGCCAAAAGUCUUUUUAAAUUGCAUUCUGAGCCCUGCAUCUAGAGUCUUGCACUUCAAAGGCAAGAGGACAGAGGCCAUCCUGUGUCACAGCUCUACCUAAAAUCUUCUAUGGGGAAAUAGGAUUAAAAGAGAGUUACCAGAACAAGGAAGUAAAGCAAAAUGAGUAGCCAAGAGGCAAGCAGUUCAUGGAUAAUGGAGAUUAGAGAAACUUCUGUGUUUAAAAUAGAGGCAGGAAUAGUAUCUUUCUAUACAGAGAACCUCAGAACUGAUUUGUUCCCCCACAAACUUCCAGACCUUAAGCAUCAGCCUAGGACUCGUUAUAGUGACAGGCCAACUUAGACGUUGCUUCUGAGUUCUAGAAGCACUGUCAAAAUAGCACCCAAUUUCCUAAUGAUUUACUGUGGUAGGGCUGUUGGGCAACAGAGGAUACAAAUAAAAGAAUGGAAACCUGAUAAUUUUUAUUGCCUAAUGACUCUCGCAACCGGUUUGAAUGAUAAGCCGUAAAGGGAAGUUGCUUCUUGACUAGUAUCCUGAGGUCAUGCCCCUUAAACAGUUUCAUCCUGUGGAUGGACUGCUGGCCUCCUUGAUAGAUGGGAGCUGCCUUAGUGGUCACUGUAGGUGACUGGGGACAUGAACUAGAAUAGAUAGGGGCAGCUACCCAGUUAAAGGCCCUAAUCUUUUCCCCACAAUUAAAAAUUUCAUCCCUUUACCCAUUGGUCAAUGAGCAAACUUGCAUUUUCACAUAAGGAUAUGGUUGAAGACUGAAAUAUUAGCUUUCAGAUUCAGGUUAAAUACAAAUGGUGGAAUGAUAAAGAACAAAUUUAAGAUAGUGGCUAUCUGGGAGUUCCCUUCCUGGUGCAGCAGAAACAAAUCCAACUAGGAACCAUGAGGUUUCUGGUUCAAUUCCUGGCCUUGCUCAGUGGGUUAAGGAUCCUGUGUUGCUGUGAGCUGUGGUGUAGGUCAAAGAGGUGGCUUGGAGGCGGGCAGCUAUAGCUUGGACUAGACUCCUAGCCUGGAAACCUCCAUAUGCUGCAGGU